rnacentral:RNase_P_RNA from 1 species
CAAGUACGACAAGUAAUCGCGGCUGCAAAUGCCGAAAGGCUGCAGGUGAGGAAAGUCCGGGCUUCGCAGGGCAGGAUGCCGGAUAACGUCCGGUGGAGGUGACUCUAAGGAAAGUGCAACAGAAAUAUACCGCGUAAGCUUUGAGAAGGGUAACUCCUCAGAAAAGGAUAUCUUUAAGCUCGCUUACAAAGAUAUUCUUUUCUGAGGAGUUAUGCGGCGAAUGCCGCGUAACAUGAACUGCGCAUCAGUUCAUGUUACAAUCUCAAUGUCAUACGUAAGGGUGGAAAGGCAGUGUAAGAGACUACCGCCUCCCUGGUAACAGGGAGGGCACAUGUAAACCCCAUCCGAAGCAAGACCGUGUAAAGACAAUGUGGCUGCCCGUCACGUCUUAGGUGGGUCGCUUGAAUCUUUCGGCGACGAAAGAUCUAGAUAGAUGAUUACUCAACGACAUAACCCGGCUUAUCGUCGUGCUUGUUAU